UCACACACUUUCAUACAGAUGCCAUACACAUGCAGAAAAUACAUAAAGAAAUUGUUGCGUUCAUAUGGAAAUCUUUGUUUGACUGCAGAAAGUGCAAAUGUAAAUGUGAGCACUGCUGAGAUCUUUUCAAACUUCCAAUAAGACAAAUGUGAGAUUAUGAGCAUGAAAAUCAGGAUAUAAUGUUUGCAUAUACUAUCCAAUUCACCACACUGUUAACAGCCUAUAGAUAUUUCAAGACGAACCAUACAAGAAGACCUUCGGCAUGAAAAUGAGUAAUUUACCUUACUUCAGCUCAGCUAGCACCAGAUAGUCUCUCUCUCUGUCUGACGCUGUCUGUGAGAGUGUGGAAGGAUAUGGAGGAGUGUGAGGCGUAAGCAUGCAGGUGCUGGAACGUGUCGUUUGCACACAUUCUUGGCUCGGGCCUCUUUUCCUACAGUGACUCAACCCAAGAUCAUCACUCCCAAGGGCUGAGGAAAACAAUGGCCCAGCGGGCUCCUCAGUCCUCUUCCAGCUCGCUUAUGCUGGAAAAAGUCACGCAACAAUCGCCAACAGAGACAAACAGGAAUAAAGCAUUUAUCUUCCUGAUUCACCUGUUGCCUUACGUUUC